GGAGUUCGGUCCGUGUCUCAGUACCGAUGUGUGGGACCUUCCUUUUAGAACCCAUAAGCAUCAUCGUCUUGGUGAGCCGUUACCUCACCAACUAACUAAUGCUACGCAUCCCCAUCCCUUAGCGAUAAAUCUUUGGUAUUCGUCAGAUGUCCUCAAAAUACAACAUAGAGUAUUAAUCCGACUUUCGCCGGGCUAUCCUCUACUAAGGGGAAGGUUGGAUACGCGUUACUCACCCGUGCGCCGGUCGCCAGCGACAAUAGCAAGCUAUCGUCCUGCUGCCCCUCGACUUGCAUGUGUUAAGCCUGUAGCUAGCGUUCAUC
rnacentral:rRNA from 1 species